rnacentral:rRNA from 1 species
UACGGAGGGUGCAAGCGUUAUCCGGAUUCACUGGGUUUAAAGGGUGCGUAGGAGGGCAGGUAAGUCAGUGGUGAAAUCCCCGAGCUUAACUUGGGAACUGCCGUUGAUACUAUCUGUCUUGAAUAUUGUGGAGGUGAGCGGAAUAUGUCAUGUAGCGGUGAAAUGCUUAGAUAUGACAUAGAACACCAAUUGCGAAGGCAGCUCGCUACACAUAUAUUGACUCUGAGGCACGAAAGCGUGGGGAUCAAAC